CUCUACAGACAUACCAUCCUGAAUGUGCCCGAUCUCCUCUGAUCUUGGAAGCUAAGCAGGGUUGGGCCUGGUUAGUACUUGGAUGGGAGAAAUGGCAGAAUGAUCCCUAUUGCUCUGUCUUCU
rfam:Pan troglodytes isolate Yerkes chimp pedigree #C0471 (Clint) chromosome 15, whole genome shotgun sequence.